UACGGAGGGGGCGAGCGUUGUUCGGAAUUACUGGGCGUAAAGGGUGCGUAGGCGGUUGUUUAAGUCUGUCGUGAAAUCCCCGGGCUCAACCUGGGAAUGGCGAUGGAUACUGGGCAGCUAGAGUGUGUCAGAGGAUGGUGGAAUUCCCGGUGUAGCGGUGAAAUGCGUAGAGAUCGGGAGGAACAUCAGUGGCGAAGGCGGCCAUCUGGGACAACACUGACGCUGAAGCACGAAAGCGUGGGGAGCAAACAGG
rnacentral:rRNA from 1 species